CGAGGUACCUCAGUUUAAGAAGCGUGCGCGUGCUCGACACGCUUUGAUUUCUAUCACCGCGUUAGGACCGCUCGCAACCAUGAAGUGUUAUAUUUUGUGUGUGGUGGUCUUUCUGAGCGUUUUAGCGCAGGGAGUUGUAAGUGAGAGUGCCCCUCCCAGCGGGAGCCUAGAAAGCAGUCACAUUGUGUCAAAACGUUCGCUAUCUCAGCUGGCGAAGAUGUUCGGGCUCGAUCGGAUUUUCGAAUCCAAGGCGCUGCCCGUGACUGCCGCACCCAUCUUGACAACGCCGAUACCUCCGAUCCUCAUCGCUGCCGCCGCCUCUGUAAACGUAAAAAUCCAACCCCCUGCGACCACGCCUCCUCCAGUCGUGGUGAUUGCCAGAGAAUCCGCUGAAGAAGCGGCGCCGGUCUCUAAUCCCUCCGCCUGAAGUACACCCCCGAGCCGACGGGGAAUUCACUGGAAGAAUCGAUGGACACGAGGUCAAUACCUACAAAAGGAUCCUACACUCGAAGGGACAUAAUGUUUGUUUUUACUCGAACCUAUUUGUAUAACUGGAAACUGCACGAAUAAAAAAUAUCCACUCCGAUCUGAG